CCAUUAUUUAUGUGUUUUGGCAUGGAUGUUAUAGGGAAAAGGCAAUUGAGAGGAAUCUUAGUACUGAUGUCGAGGUUGGUAGGGCUGAGGUGUACAUCUGAGCCCAUACAAUAAAGGAUAACAAAGUGCAGUUUCUAGAAACCUUUGUAAAAUAAAAUCGAUUCAAAGUAGUAAUCCUGCAUCUCGGAUGACCAGUGUAGAUGAUGCCCUUACACAGUCAAUUGGGAGUGAUAGUAGAGGGCGCAUGCAGGGGAUAGGUGGAAAUGAAGGCAAGAUUACAUUGAAGAAGACAAUGCCUAUUGUACAUAAACUCGGUAUGGUGUCACGGGGACGAGAUAAUUUGGUAGAUGAAUUAGAUGAAGUGAAGAAAAGCCUGGGAAAUCUCCACGAGAAGGUUAAUUGCUUUGUAGAUAAGCAAGGGGAACAAAGGGAUGUGGCUCCACCGACAAUUCCUCCAUUUAUAUCUAGUCAUGCAUCAUCGCCUGAUUUGGUAAAUCUUGGCAGGAGACGCGAUCUCUGUGAUUGGAAGAAACGAGUAAUUGCUCAUGAUGAGGUGUAUGUGGUUGAUCCAAAUACCCAUGUCCAUGGAGCAGAAAUGAGCGAUGGAAAUUUUAGUGUCGUCUUGAUGGAGAUUAUAGCUCCGUAGUCAAAGCUAUGGAAGGAAGAUAGUUAUCAUGAUAUGCUUGGAGAGGUCGGUGUAGGAGGAUUCGUCGUCUGGCCCUAGUUAUUUUUAACCAUCUAUCCAUGAUGUUUGUGAAUAUUAGACAUUACAAUAACUAACACAAUUAACUUUUAUUUUUAAACGAUACAGUAACAUAGACAGAUGCAUGCAUAUUAUGGAAUCGAAUGAAUUUAACACUCACUUCAGAUUACACCCACGUAUAUUGAAUGGAAUGGAAUUAACACCCACAUUUAUACAUUGAUAUAUUUGGUUGGCAUUUCAAUUUUCAACCUCCAUUUGAGGAAUUGAAAGAUUUGUAAUAAUUUUCACUUCUUUAAGUGUAAUUUGCACUUGGGAGAGAGAGAGAGAGAGAGAGAGAGAACUAUAGGGAAUUUUCAUCAUCCAUGGCAGCUAUUGCAGAGAAUGCGAUCAUCUCCGACGAUAAGUUUUUACAUGGUUCUGCUAUAAUUUCUUCAAUGGCUGCUGGUGGUUCUGCAGGUGUACAGAAAUUACACCUCAAACAGAGUACCAUCUGCUGUAAGUUACUUCAAGGGAUCUGGUUUUGAGUGUUGUAGGAUCAUUUACUGAAGCUACACUGGUUGGUUCUCACCCCAAAGGUUGGUGUAGGUGUCACUUCAGGGGGAGUUAAUCAGAUAAGUUUAUAUUUUUCUUUUUGGUUGCAUUUAUUGUCAAAUU